ACGAAAAAAACCUACCAAAAAAAACCAGAACUCGCACGCACGAGCGAGACUGCCCUCUCGAUCCCCUCGACCUACGAUCUGUGACUGCAGACGCACCAGAUCGCCGCCGCGGACCUCGCAGGGAAGACGCGGAUGAGAUCCCAAGCCGCUGCUCCUCCUCUCCCGGGAUGCAGCCGCCGCCGCCGAACCAGGGAGACGCCGGCGACCAUCGCCGCCGUCGUGGAUCACCAGGACGCCGCCGCCUGCACCGCCACCACCGCGCCUCGGAUACGUCGCUGCGAGGAGGAUCCCUGGGAGCGGGAGGAGGUAGGGGUCAGCCGCGUCGACAGCGGCGAGGUGGAGCCCUGGGGCUGGGAGUGGGUAUGGGAGGAGGUGGGGGCAGCUGCGAGCGCAGCGGGGUGAGGGGCGUCGAUGAGAUGCUCCUGGUGCCUCCCUCCGAGUGGGAGGGGGAGAGGGGCGUCAGCGGCGAGCCGGACGGGGCGAGGGGCGUCGAUGAGAUGCCCCCGGCGCUUCCCUCCGGGCGGGAGGAGGAGAGGGGCGUCGGCGACGAGGCGGGUGUCGGCGGCAAGAUGGUCUCUGACGGGCGUGAUAGGCGGGCAGCUUAGGCGUGAAGCGUGCGUUCAUGGAGGUAUUCGCCAGGGCGCUCUUCUAUCCGACGGUGAUGCUGAACUACGGCCGCAGCUUGAUCGAGCCCGAGUUCCACUGGUGGGAUCGCAUCGACAAGCUGUAGGGAUGUUGCUGUUUGAGGAAUACUGAAUGCUGUUCAUCUGUAUACAUUGAACUAAUUUUAAUUUGUAUCGACCCAGGAUAUUUGGAUAGGGGCAGUUCCUCACCAACCAAUGUCAUAAUUUAUCACGUCUGCAAAUGAUUUUUGGACUGUAGUUUGGAUUGUUCUGCCGAGCGUAUAACAACGCAUGCUAUCUAUCAAAGCUUCGACUCAUUUGUUUUGCUGCUCCGGAAUAUUGAGACGAGAAGAAUGGCCUUGAUGCUGGAGGUUAAUGGAUCACCCUGGGAACGAUUUUGAGGGCAUUAUGCCAGCUACUUUGAUGGCAAUGGAUUAUGGAAUGGCAAACUAACAGGGCACAUCGCACAACUGGUAUAAAUGUGUUGAUAUGUUGCAUUUCAAGGCAGUUUCACUCAUAAAUACUACAAAGUUUGAACCAUUUAGCAUUUGGGACCACGAGGAUUCCGAUUGGGAGAACGACGUCGUCCAUAGAUUAAUGUAUGGGAACACCGGGCCAACUCACUUUACAGGACAGGAGGGUUGACCGCUGGGCGAUGCGCUGCACGAGUAGGCCAGGAGGAACAAGAGUAGAAGAGGACUGUAGCCUGUAGGUGAGAGAAGAUGAUGCCAUUGCCAUCUUGACUGAAGGUUGGGCAUCUAAAGAUGCUUGGCAACCAGAACUCUGAAGCUAAACACCACUUGAAGGUACCUGGAAAUACAUUACUUGCUGAAGCUGCACAUCCUACGCCCCAGGAGGAGGCCAAAUGCAUAUUCCGAUCAUGUGUUCUAAAUACUAAAGCUUCCUUGCUGGAUCUAAGGUUUAAUUUCUCUGCCCCAAUGCUGGUUCUUAGGGUAAUACAAGUUCUACUCCAUAUUUUUGAUGCCCUCCACACAACUGUAUGUUCAUGUUCCAGAGUCCUUAUUCAUAGUUAAUUUCAAUCACAAAGUGACAAAUGCCAGUCUAUUAGUUAACAUGUGUAUCUCCGUUUCUUCUAAGUUUCAAUCGACCUACUCUGAAGUUGUUCCUAAGACAGUGCCUCAAGCAAAGGGAAUGAGCCUCAGUUAGUGUAUCUAGCGAGUUCGCGAUCCUUUGUUGGGAUAAACAUUUGUGCAAGAGCAAGUCUCGUCACUGUUGGUUGUUAGUACUUUUGCUUGAUAAUUCUAAUUUUUACUUCAGUUCAUAAGGCAAUGUAGUUAUGCUUGACGCACGAUAUGAAGACUGCCAUUUUGCCUUUUGACCUUGGUUUCUUCCUCCAGUAAGUAAAUGCACAUAGUUCUUUUCUAAAUUAGAGCAUAUGACUUGUUGAUCGAUCUCUGAGCUCAGUAAUAAUAUUAAGCCUUAAUCUGUUUACUGUAAUCUGGAAUAAAAUUAAAUAAAUAAGGAAACGUUAUAUUCAUAUAUCUUUUUUGUACUUUGAUGGUUUCACACCACAAGUUCCUAGAUGGUAAUUGUGCUGCAUAUGUCUGCUCUCUUACUUUGUUUUUCUGAACAGGUAGGUUCCGAAAGAUGUCAUGAAGAAUUUCUUUGAGAGAAUUUGCGUGAGGUGUGUCUAAAUGAUUUUUAUCUUCUGAACAUAUUCUUGUAUGACUAACUGAAUUCAUUUUCUCAAAACGUUGGUACUUUUCCUUUUUCAUUUAUGUUGCUCGACUGAGUCUCUCUCGGAUCAUGUACACUCCACAUGCUAGCUGAUCUGUAGCAGUGCGGAAGGUGAGCUUGGCUGCCGGCAACAGCUCCUUUGGCUGAUCUGCGGUGAUGCAGAAGUUGGGUUGGAAAAAAGCACGACCGGCUGCUCUGAAGUGGGUCGUAGGGAGAGCUUCGUAAGAGAUAGGGAGGGAGCUCUAUUGGCCCGUGCAUGACAUCCAACCCAAUGGCAUCAUGCCCUGGUAGGCAUGGUUGCAUGGCCACGGGGAGAAUGGAGCAAGUAGCGUGUGAGGAGUUUAAGAAAUGGGGACAAGGGACAGUUUAGUUAAUUAAGUCUAUGUUAGUUUCAAGUUUUAUCCUUGUUGCGGUAAAAAAUUAAGGUUGGAUUAACCACCAUGUACAUCUUUAAUUACUUUUAAAUAAGAAAUAUAAUCAAAAUAUUCUCUUGA